GUUACACCAAAGCGAAUUAGUCAAGUGUAACAUUCACUCGCAAUUACACACGGCGCAAGUUGUAUCAGUUCCUAUAACUGAGAAAUUCCUCAAAUAUUUACCAUGAAGACUGCUAUUGCAUUUAUGUUCUUAGUUUUUAUUGCUCUUAUUAAUAAUGGAAGCACCCGGUGUGAUUUUGGAUGUGUUCACAUAAAAGGCCCUGUUUGUGCAAUUGAUGUCGAUGGUUCUUAUCAAUAUUUUGCCAAUGACUGCAAAAUGAGUUUGGCGAACUGCAAAAAUCAUACCAAAGGUUAUAAAAAAGUAGAUGAUUUGGACUUGUGCUCAGACGACUAACAUUAACUCUUCAUUUAAUCCUUAAUAUUAAUUAGUUGUGAUAUUACGACAGGCGAACGCUUGCACCGCCGGGGCAUUCGCCCUGGGAAAGAAUUUUGAAUUCUAAAACAAAAAUAUUCACAUUUUAAUUUAAGAAAAAAACUUCUUCAUAUUUACAAUGUGUAAAGAAAAUCGACUUACGCUUGUCCUGCUCACAAUUGUAAUUAGUCAGGACGCAUUCGUUGCCGAAAGUGAUGGGCUUGGCAACAUCAUCACCUCCGCAAACGGGGAUGUAUGACUCCGGGCAGGGUUUCAAGCAUGGUUUGGCUUUCAACGCGGCUUUCGUGGAGCCCUUUGCUGGCGACGCCGAUGCGAAUGCCAGCAAGCCAACUAAAAGUAAUAAAAAUUGUUUGUUUUGUACGAUAUUAUUGAAAUUAUUGUCGGAAAAUGUUCCUAAUCGGUUUAGUUCACACGUGACAUCAUAAACUUUAUAUUAUUCAUAAGUACUUGUUGUUAUCUAUUGUUAAACCAAAUAAAAGCAAUUUGACGUUUGUAUA